AUUGAACGCUGGCGGCAUGCCUUACACAUGCAAGUCGAACGGCAGCACGGGGCAACCUGGUGGCGAGUGGCGAACGGGUGAGUAAUGCAUCGGAACGUGCCAUUGAGUGGGGGAUAACGUAGCGAAAGUUGCGCUAAUACCGCAUAUUCUGUGAGCAGGAAAGCAGGGGACCGCAAGGCCUUGCGCUCUUUGAGCGGCCGAUGUCAGAUUAGCUAGUUGGUGAGGUAACGGCUUACCAAGGCGACGAUCUGUAGCGGGUCUGAGAGGAUGAUCCGCCACACUGGAACUGAGACACGGUCCAGACUCCUACGGGAGGCAGCAGUGGGGAAUUUUGGACAAUGGGCGCAAGCCUGAUCCAGCCAUGCCGCGUGAGUGAAGAAGGCCUUCGGGUUGGUUAAA
rnacentral:rRNA from 1 species